rnacentral:misc_RNA from 1 species
AAAGUCGUAACAAGGUUUCCGUAGGUGAACCUGCGGAAGGAUCAUUAACGAGGAGUGGAGAGGUGUGGUGUGUGUGGUUGUAGUGUAGUGUAGGAGGUAGUAGUUUGGUAGGGUGAUAUGAUGGAUGAUAUGUUCAGUCAAUGAUAUGUUCAAUCAAUGAUAUGUUCAGUCACCAGUCACCAAUCACCACCAAUCCCCUCCAAAUUCACCCUAUAACGCAUAACGCCCGCCUCAACAAACGCAAGGCAUUUGCCUUGUUUCACGCUUGUCUUUGUUUGUCAAACAACUAUCAGUGCUUUAUGAUAACUUUUAACAAUGGAUCUCUUGGCUCUU